AAGACCCAGUGGGUGGAGGCUGCUGCUCCUCUAACUCCGAGUUCCAAGAGGAUGUGGGUGGUGCCUUUCUGCUCCCUGCACACUGUGUUUCUGGCUUUCAGCAUUCGGAAAAGCCUGGGCCUACUAUGACCACUGUGUAGUUAGGACCAAACAAACAAUGCCAGUGGUACUGGCCCACCCCUCCUGGGGGCCUGCAGAGGCUUGCCCACCCUAGGGCUGUGGUGGGGUAAGGCUUCUCUGGAGGCACCCAUGGCUACCACAAAGAGUUUGUCUCUGUCAGCCAGCCAUGAGUCCAAGGGCUGUGACCGCAGUUCAGGCCUUGUGACUGCAGAGACAGAGACAGAGACAGAGCCGUCCCAGUACGGUGUGUUUCCCUGACCUGUAGGAAGUGCUAUGGGACUUGGGUCCAAUGAGG
ensembl:misc_RNA Telomerase-vert Vertebrate telomerase RNA